UACGUGGGGGGCAAGCGUUGUUCGGAAUUACUGGGCGUAAAGGGCUCGUAGGCGGCCAACUAAGUCAGACGUUAAAUCCCUAGGCUCAACCUAGGAACUGCGUCUGAUACUGGAUGGCUUGAAUCCGGGAGAGGGAUGCAGAAUUCCAGGUGUAGCGGUGAAAUGCGUAGAUAUCUGGAGGAAUACCGGUGGCGAAGGCGGCAUCCUGGACCGGCAUUGACGCUGAGGAGCGAAAGCCAGGGGAGCAAACGGG
rnacentral:rRNA from 1 species